GCUUGUCUCAAAGAUUAAGCCAUGCAUGUCUCAGCAUAAGCUUCAACACGGUGAAACUGCAAAUGGCUCAUUAAAGCAGUUACAAUUUAUUUGAUGGUCACUGUUACAUGGAUAACUGUGGUAAUUCUAGAGCUAAUACAUGCUAAAAACCCCGACUUCGGAAGGGGUGUAUUUAUUAGAUACAAAACCAAUGCCCUUCGGGGCUCCUUGGUGAUUCAUGAUAACUAUACGAAUCGCACGGCCUUGCGCCGGCGAUGGUUCAUUCAAAUUUCUUCCCUAUCAACUUUCGAUGUUUGGGUAUUGGCCAAACAUGGUUGCAACGGGUAACGGAGGGUUAGGGCUCGACCCCGGAGAAGGAGCCUGAGAAACGGCUACUACAUCCAAGGAAGGCAGCAGG
rnacentral:rRNA from 1 species